AGGACGAACGCUGGCGGCGUGCUUAACACAUGCAAGUCGAACGAGGUCCACCGCGUAGCAAUACAAGGGAAGACCUAGUGGCGAACGGGUGCGUAACACGUGAGGAACUUGUCCCGGUCUCUGGGAUAACAGUUGGAAACGACUGCUAAUACCAGAUGACGUCGGAAUCUCGCAUGGGAUACUGACGAAAGGUUACUGGAUCGGGAGAGCCUCGCGGCCUAUCAGCUUGUUGGUGGGGUAACGGCCCACCAAGGCAUCGACGGGUAGCUGGUCUGAGAGGAUGAUCAGCCACACUGGGACUGAGACACGGCCCAGACUCCGUACGGGAGGCAGCGAGUGGGGAAUCGUUGCGACAAGUGGGGACG
rnacentral:rRNA from 1 species